CCUACGGGGGGCUGCAGUGGGGAAUUGUUCGCAAUGGGCGCAAGCCUGACGACGCAACGCCGCGUGGAGGAUGAAGGUCUUCGGAUCGUAAACUCCUGUUGCCCGGGACGAAAAGCUUCGACCUAACACGUCGAGGUCUGACGGUACCGGGUGAGGAAGCCCCGGCUAACUCUGUGCCAGCAGCCGCGGUAAUACAGAGGGGGCAAGCGUUGUUCGGAAUUACUGGGCGUAAAGGGCGCGUAGGCGGCCUGUUAAGUCGAACGUGAAAUCCCCGAGCUCAACUCGGGAACUGCGUCCGAUACUGGCAGGCUUGAAUCCGGGAGAGGGAUGUGGAAUUCCAGGUGUAGCGGUGAAAUGCGUAGAUAUCUGGAGGAACACCGGUGGCGAAGGCGGCAUCCUGGACCGGUAUUGACGCUGAGGCGCGAAAGCCAGGGGAGCAAACGGGAUUAGAUACCCCAGUAGUC
rnacentral:rRNA from 1 species